AGCGGCGCGGGGCUCGGCCCGGCCUGCCCGCCCGCACUGCGCGCCCGGCCCCGCCGAGCCCGCCGGUCCGGCCCCCGCGCCCCGGCCGGCCGGGCACCGGAGAGCUGCCGCCUCCUGGGCCCGGGCGCAGCGCGGGCGCUCCGUGGCCUCGGGAGUGCCUGAGGCGGGCGCUGAAGGCCGGGGCGGCACCGCCGCCCGUUGAGGGUUUGCACUUGGCGCCCGGUGACAGCCAGCGACGGGCCCGGCCUCGGAGCAACAAAGAGGCUCUCGGGGAAAUGCCUCCAGUGCGGGAGAAGGGGGUCAAAAGUUUGUUUACACUCCCAGAUCAUGAUACCCCAAACAUGGAUUGCUAAUUGAAUGCACCCAACAACACUCGCUAUGAAAAAUAUUCGCCAUUCCAGUAUAAUCGUGCGUGUCACUCAAGUUUGUGAAGCCUUUCACUGAGCGAGGCCUCUCACUCCUCUGAUAACAAAUGCUCUGCAAGAAACCCAGGCCAGGAAGGUCUCUGAACUUGAGGAGAAGCUUCAGGAAGUCUCCGGAAAAGACAAAUUGUACACAAGUGAAACUGUUCGUGAUGUCUAAAUAUUUAUCCAGAAGGUGACAGGUGAACAAAUCACAGGUCUUGAGUUUCUCUACCCUGCCUCUCUUGGUAACGUCAUCUCCAGUACCAUCUGCUACCUACCAGACAAACAGACCAACCACAUAAUGAGGUACCAGCUUCCACCCAGCUACCGUGACUAAAUCAGAACAAAAGAUUCAACGCCUCCUUCAACAAAGGAACACAAGUCUAAGCUGUCUUUGCUAAUUGCUGGGUUUCAGGUUGUCUGUUACAGAUUUUAAGUGAGCUACAAACUUCCGUCAAAUACUUAGAGCUGUUGGAUAAAGGUACUAAGAAUAAAAGAUACAUGGAAGCAAAAGGCAAUGAUGUUGUUCUCCUAAAACGUGAGGCAGUUUGCUUCUUGUCAGCAAGAGGAGCUCAGCCCAGCUCUGCAUCUCCUGCGCUGCCGCAGACGGACUCGCCUGCUCCGCGUUCAGUUGUUCUAUGGGCUGACUUGGAAUGAGUCGGGGGAAUCAUUGCUCCAUUCAUACAGCACUUGCACUUCUUGUAUACCCCGUUAGACACUGUGGGCGAUUUUAAAGUGAAAGGGAAUAAUGAAAUAAUCUUAUUAAGAAACACUGCUCAGUUUAAAAAUAGGAGAUUUCUUGUCACAAAUCUUGUCCCCUAACUGUAAAUGAACAUGUUUGUAAUUUUUUUUCCUCAGUAUUCCAGGGCAAGAAACAUUUUGUAUCUGUUUCUUUUCCUAAAUGAUUGCUAUCCUUAGCCAGUUAGCGCAAAAAUGGUGCGUGAGUCACAGGAAAUUUAAGUGGUUUGUCUCAGGGAAAUUUGGUGGUAUGCAUUUUUUUGAUGCACAUAGAGCUGCUGAAUGAAUAAUUGGCAACCUAUUUAAUGUCCUCUGCUUUAAAGCUGUCUAGUACAUUUGCUGUUUAAAAAAAUGUCUUUCAAAGCUGUUAAAUAUGUAACAAAAAGAGGCUGCUCUCACCAUUCUGACAUGAACAAAGGCAUACAGUGAGCUGCCUGAGGUACUUCCAGCAUGGUAUUAAUUACAAACACAAUAAUAAAUGAGAAUUUGCAAAGUUCUCAAAUUCCAUUUCUUUGCAAUACCAGCUGAUGAAUGUUUUAUAAAAGCAUGCAGUAAAAAUAUCAGUCCGGGAAUUAGCUAUUAAAUAUUACCUAAGCCGAGAGUUUUGGGGAGAGCAUGGAAUCUGUUGCUCUAUAAUUUCACCAUUUCCCCCGAUUGAAUAAGAUCUCCGGCUGCCUCCGAAGCAAACCGAGCUUAAAACAGCGCACUUUCGAGAAGAUGAUCGACUAAGAUUGUGUUUUACUUUGAUUUGAAAAACUGUCAAUCAUAGAUAAAAAAGACCAAAUAUAUUCUUAUAUAAUAUCAGCUAAUUGUAUUUGUCUGGUAAACCAGGAAUGCGCAGGAAAGAGAAAUAAUAGCGUUUAAAAGGGAAAUAUUCAGAAUGUUUUGCCCAGAUGUUGUGCUGAAAUUGUCACUGGUACAGGCAAUAGAUUUCAGAUAAAAAUACAAGCAGGGAUCUAUAGAUGUGAGAGAGACAUGAGAUGCCCACGAUCCGACGUAUUUCAGUUUAUACAGCCACAGCUAUUUAAACAAUUCCAAAACUGCCUCCACGGGUGUCAAAGAGGGAGGGAAAUCUUCAACCACAUGAUCUUCUCUCCAGAGUCCUGUUAAAUCCACUGAACUUAAAACAGAACAAGAAGUGUGAAAUAUGGGUUUGAACAUGUUAUGUCAGAAAUGUAAAGGUUGGAAGCCUUUUUAGUAACCGAUAUUAAUAUUGUAUUAAAUGUUAUGAAAAGGUAGGUGUUGGAGAGAAGGGCUGGGCUCAUGUGCAAUUUUGUCAAGGUUUUUAUCUGUGAUUAUGAUUCCAGAUGUAUCUAUUCCCUGAGGAGAAAAAAUGAAGUAAAGUUGGCAUGUGACAUGU